UACGUAGGGUGCGAGCGUUAAUCGGAAUUACUGGGCGUAAAGCGUGCGCAGGCGGUUUUGUAAGCCAGAUGUGAAAUCCCCGGGCUUAACCUGGGAAUGGCAUUUGGGACUGCAAGGCUUGAGUGCGGCAGAGGAGACUGGAAUUCCUGGUGUAGCAGUGAAAUGCGUAGAUAUCAGGAGGAAUACCGAUGGCGAAGGCAGGUCUCUGGGCUGACACUGACGCUCAUGCACGAAAGCGUGGGGAGC
rnacentral:rRNA from 1 species